ACGAACGCUGGCGGCGUGCUUAACACAUGCAAGUCGGACGGAAAGGCCCCUUUGGGGGUACUCGAGUGGCGAACGGGUGAGGAACACGUGAGUAACCUGCCCUUGACUUCGGGAUAACUUCAGGAAACUGGGGCUAAUACCGGAUAGGAAUCCUUGCUGCAUGGUGGGGGGUGGAAAGCUUCGGCGGGUUUGGUCGGACUCGGGGCUUAUCAGCUUGUUGGUGGGGGAGUGGCUUACCAAGGCCGGGGCGGGUAGCCGGCCUGAGAGGGCGACCGGCCACAUUGGGACUGAGAUGCGGCCCAGACUCCUACGGGAGGCAGCAGUGGGGAAUAUUGCACGAUGGGCGGAAGCCUGAUGCAGCAACGCCGCGUGCGGGAUGACGGCCUUCGGGUUGUAAACCGCUUUCAGCAGGGGCGAAGCUUGUGGUGACGGUACCUGCAGAAGAAGCACCGGCUAACUACGUG
rnacentral:rRNA from 1 species